UACGUAGGGUGCAAGCGUUGUCCGGAAUUAUUGGGCGUAAAGAGCUCGUAGGCGGUCUGUCGCGUCUGCUGUGAAAACUCGGGGCUUAACCCCGGGCCUGCAGUGGGUACGGGCAGACUAGAGUGCGGUAGGGGAGACUGGAAUUCCUGGUGUAGCGGUGAAAUGCGCAGAUAUCGGGAGGAACACCAGUGGCGAAGGCGGCGACCUGGGCCAAUAUUGACGCUGAGGUGCGAAAGCGUGGGGAGCAAACAGG
rnacentral:rRNA from 1 species